rnacentral:sRNA from 1 species
UUCGCCCAAAUUUCACAGAGGAUGAGAACCUCCGGGGCAGGAGGUUCGACCCGAGCGAAGCGAGAGAGCGUUGCUUUAGCAACGACCCGCAGGGCGAAGCCACGAAGUGGCGAGUUUAUCCUCUCGGCUUCUCUA